rnacentral:lncRNA from 1 species
UCUCCCUCUCUUCUUUUGAUGGCUUACAACCACCUUAUGGCCUCUUUUUUUUUCUUUUCUUUUUGAUGGCUCACGGCCUCUUCACGACCUCCACCCCUUUUUUUUUGUGUGUUUGGUUCCACAUCUAUGAUUCUCCUGUUAUAAACAAAAGGUUAGAGUCCUUUAUGGACUCAUCUUCAACAUCGCGAAAGAAUUCUGCACAUCCUCCAUUUCCACACACUAGGCUUUUUCGUGCGCCUUAGUUUCAUGUGCAUAAGACAAUCUCGAGCCAAUGAAUAAGAGUCCAUUUCAGACUCUUCUCUUCACCUUUUUUUUUU